CAGUAGCUAAACUUUCAAACAGAACAACUAAAAAGAGACUAAAAUACUUUAGUCCUACUAGUCAGCUAAGAGUAGCUAAAAUAAUUUUAGCUGCUAAAAUAGUCUUACUAGGGGAACCAAAUAGUCUGUUAUUCUUUGCUCUGAAAUUAGUAUCACACUGCGUUCUAUACGGGCCUACUUGCUUGAGAUCACAGUGACAGUGUGGAUCAGAGCCUGAUACAUUCGAAUCGGGCCGUUCGUUUGUCGAGGCAGCCUUCCAUUGCACGGACGCGAUUUCUUCUCCCCCCAAAACCCCACUACCAGGAGAGGCUUUGUUCUGUACUUGUGACCCUUCAAACCCCACCGCACCGCCGCCCGCCGGCUGUCUCCCAGCUCACCGCCGGCGCCCUCACCGCCGCCCCAUGCUCCUCGCCCCCAUCCUCCUCCUCCGCCGCGCGCGCGCACCACCCACCCUCCCUCCCCGCCGCCACCUCUCGCGCCUCCUCGACCGCUACGGCUUCGUGGCCCCGGACUCCCUCGCCCCGGCGGCCCCGCGAGAACCUCCCAGCGACACAGCCUCCUCGACGAAGAAGCGCCGCGCGAAGAAGCCGCCGUACCGCCCGCCGUCCUCGCUGGACCGAGGCGGCCGGCCGCCGGCGCACUCCGACCUCCCCUUCGACUUCCGCUUCAGCUACACCGAGAGCACCCCGGCGUCCAAGCCCAUCGGGCUCCGCGAGCCCAGGUACUCCCCGUUCGGCCCCGGGCGGCUCGACCGGCCCUGGACGGGGCUCUGCGCGCCCGCCGUCGACGCUACCCUGCGCGACGUCGAGGCAGAGGAUCCCCUUCCCGACGCCGAGAAGGGGCUGGAGGAGGCGCGACGGCGAGAGCGGGAGCGCGUGCUGGGAGAGCCGCUCACCCCCGCUGAGCGUGCGUUCUUGGUCGACAAGUGCCAGAAGAACCGCACCAAGCGUCAGAUCAACCUUGGGAGAGAUGGGCUUACUCAUAACAUGCUAAACGAUAUUCACAAUAACUGGAAGACUUGUGAGGCUGUCAGGAUAAAAUGCCUCGGUGUGCCAACGGUUGAUAUGCAAAAUGUGUGCCAUCAGCUUGAGGAUAAAACUGGUGGCGUGAUCAUCCACCGGCAUGGUAGCCUGUUGAUACUGUACAGGGGUAGGCAUUAUAAUCCAAAGAAAAGACCUGUGAUUCCGUUGAUGCUGUGGAAACCUGCUGAACCUGUUUACCCGAGGCUAAUCAAAACAACAAUAGAAGGGCUCACAGUUGAGGAGACAAAGCAAAUGAGGAAGAAGGGCCUACAUGCUCCUGUUUUGACAAAGCUUGCCAAGAACGGAUACUAUGCUAGUAUUGUGCCAAUGGUCCGGGAUGCCUUUUUGAUGGAUGAGCUAGUACGAAUAGACUGUAAAGGAUUGCCAAAAAGUGACUAUAAGAAGAUUGGAGUCAAGCUCAGGGAUCUUGUUCCUUGCAUUCUUGUCUCCUUUGACAAGGAGCAAAUUAUUGUUUGGAGGGGAAAGGAAGUUGGAAGCCUACAAGAUCAAACACAGAAGUCAUUCCUUUCAUUUAUUGACUCAGAUGGUGCAUCAGUGAAGGAUGAGACUGGUGAUCAGGAACAAAUACCAAGUGAUUGGUCUUCUGAUGAGUGUUCUGCGAUCAGCAGCUCAGAUGAAGUGCCAAAUGACAAGCCAGUAAUUUCUGAUCUAGACUCUUCUAAGUCGAUCUGACAUAUCCAGAAUACACAGUUCACAUAGUUACAAAGCUGUUACUGGACAUCAACAAUUGGGAGUCGGCAGUACAAGCUUGGGAACCAAACAGGGCCGGCAUCUGUUUCUCUGUUCUGCAUUUGUUGAUGCAUGGUGUCCCUUUGGCCUUGGUUAGUAACGACAGCAUGUCAACAACUCAGGAUCGAACAAUCCAUCCAAACAUAAGAUAUUGGAGGAAAACAAGCUCUAGUCAUUGCCGUCUUGCCUACUUGCUCAUGUUGGGUGACUGCACACCAGCCAUGUGCUGAAAACCAUCUCCUAAAUGGAGCAUUCAAGAUCAGAAGAAACUGAACCCUCUUUCCUUCCCCUGUCGAUGGUUCAUAUCCCUCUAAUCCUCACUUCAAAUGCCAUCUUGAGGAGAAUAAACCUGUUCUGGUCGGUUUACUUACCUCAAAUCCACACUUCAAAUGGAGGACAUAUACCAUCCCAGCAAAUCUGUUCAGCAACCAAGGCAUCAGUUGUACUGUACUUCAGAUCUUGGAGGAAACCAAGCUGAAAUUGGCGAUUACCUUUUGCAGACUCUGAUUACCAGUUAGUUUGUUUUCCUCCCACCCUCAUUUUCAGCACCCGAUGAUCACUCAGCAAGUAGGAACAACAAAUGACCUGGAAAGUGGAAACAUGCCGAAAUUCUCCUUGUAUCAUCAAAGGAUGCUUUUUAUAGCUCCAUUGAAACUACAUUUUACAGUAAAGGGUAGGUCAGGGCAAAGCAAACUUUUAUUUUUCACCAGAAAGGGCAGGGCGAGUUUUGAGCAAGGCAGCAUGAUCAGUACUGAACAAAUGUUUCUAGCAAAACUAAAUUUGUCAGGGUUCAGGGGGUGAGGAGUAUAGAUUCUUGCAUUUGACAUUGAAGCUUGAAGCCCUUAUUUUGGGCCUGGUUUGUACUAACAGUUAGUCGACAGUUCAGUAUCACUUAAUUCAACCUAGGUUAGAUAUUGGAGGACAACAAACUCGAUGACCAACAUGGAUUGUGUCUGUUUGUCUGUGACAGUGAUUGGGAGUAUGA